rnacentral:lncRNA from 1 species
GUCCACUUGUGAUUCUUCCCCGAGAAAAAGAAGGCCAAGGUUUGGGAUGAUCUGAAGAAGUUUGAAACCAGUAAGUAUCUUCACAUUAAUACAUGCCUUCAUUGAGACACAGGUCAAGGAAAAGAUUUUAAAAAAAUUGAAAAAAUUUCUUGAUUCGCUUCUGAUUAUAGGAUCUUUAGUGUGACUUUUGUGCGUUAUAGGAUCUUUAGUGUUGGUUCUUAUUUUAGGCAGCUAGGGCUAUUGGCUGCAAUCUCUAUUCCUCUCUUGUCGAGUUCCUUUCUGUUAGGGCUUUGGGAUCCCGGUGGUGAUCGAGACUUUAUUGUCUUUGAGCAAUUUUUCUGCAUAUAUGAGUUUGCUGCUAAGGUGACACCUUUGUAGGACCCUCUCCGCUUUAUAUUUCACUAAUCCAAACUGUCUCUUUUGUAGAUAUUCAUUCAAAGAUCAUCUCUACACAAAAAUCACUUGAAUCCGAUAUCAUUUGGCCAUUCAUUAAAUUAUUGAAAUUUAAGUAUUUUCUUGAAGCACCAUGUUCAUUGAUUGUGUUGCUCUCAAUUAGAUGCCUUGAUGAUUUUUAGUUUAUCUAUUUUUUUUUUAAGGAUGAUCUUUAAAUGAAUACUUGAAAAAUAGAUAGUUUGGAUGGUUGAAAAAAAAUUAGUACAGUACCCUAAAGACUAAUGUCCCUCAAAUAAAAUAAUUUAAAGAAUCCCUCAAUCAAAAAAGAUUAUAUAUAUAUAUAUAUAUAUUCUUUUUUGUCAAUGUUAAAGAUCUAAGAUAAGACACAAUGUGAACAUAAUCCUCACGCAAUACGCUAUACAUAUCUAAAAAUAUUGUGUCAAUCCACUAAAUAAGUGACUUAGUUGCUCCGCCUAUUUUAUUGACUAAUACAAGCAGCAUCGCCCUCAAAACAAUCCAAAUUCCUUCUAGAUCUCCACUAAUCACAAGAUUCUCAAAGAGUUAACAAUUAAUUAAUAUUGACUAUGUACACAAGCCUCAAGCCACAAGCAACAAAAAGAGGGACAAAAAUAUGCACAAGAAGACGAUGCAAGAAUGUCUAGGGUUACAUCAUAUCCAAGGGACGCUCGUCCGGGUUCACUGGACAAUGCCGGGACCCCGCAGAAAUAACAGAGACAACAAUCAUGCUGACAGAUAGCUAGAGAAACAAAGAGAAACUAGAAUAGGGUUUUUUCUUUUAAUUAAAAAUAAAAAUAACAAAAGGCUGGGGCUUAAGAUCCUGUCCACCGACCCACUAGAUUGGUCAAUUAAUUAAUUUGGUAGAGUUAUAUGAAGAAAGGAAUUUUUGUGACUUUGUUUGCUUGCUAUGUGCUGCGCCGCAGUCAGCGCUGGAAGUGUCGCGCAUGCGCAUAAGAGACUGACCGCAAGUGUGAUCUUGUAGCAGACUUGUGUAUAUAUAGAAACAUGCCGUUGAUUUCUUAGUUGAAGAGAAAGUGCACAUAAUCUUAGACUAUUGGUCGUUCUAGUCACAUACCAUACCACACGUAAGCUUCUUUUUCUCACUCUUGUUUUGGUUUCAAAUGCAUGAGAAUGGAUGCGGAACAUGCUAGUUCACUAAUACCUCUGGAAGUCAUAAAGUUGUAUACAAUCAUGUGUACAGUAUUUCUCUUUUUCCGUUAAACGCUAUAAAUUAUAUAUAAUAAUGUGUAUUUCUCUUUCUUCAUCUCUCAGUUCUUAAUUUAGUAUAUUACAAAAUCUCGAGAUAAAAUGUAUUCAUUGAUAUAAAUAUCACAAAUUGUACACAAUCAUUCAUGUAAUUUUAUUUUUUUCAAACAUAAUCAUCCAUAUUUAUCUCUCUCGUGAGUGAGACACAUUAUAUAAUUACUUUACUCUUUGAGAGUAUUACUCUCAACCUCUAAGUUUAGAACCACAAGGAAAUUCCCAGAUGAUGAGCAAGAGAGUGACAUCAUGAAACUUUUGUAAUAAAUAAUAUGGUCCCAAGACCAAGUUGGGGAUUUUGCUCCAACACCUGCAUCAUUAACCUACUUAUGGCCUAACAGGCUUUGGGAUCGACAGACUCAUGGUGGGGUCCUUUUUUUGGCCCCAAAGAACCUGAUUGACUGCACGCAUAACGAGGUUGGCUUGUUUGACCAUCAUGAUGAAUAGGACCACCACACCAUCGAUCACAACCUGAUCAUAAUCAAAGGCUAGGAAUGCUUUGGACACAAUUUGGCAUUUGAUACAUAUCAUAUGAUACCACGGACCACGGGCCAUGCCCUUGGAAUUUUGAAAUUUGAACUCAAAUUUUGUAACCCCAGAUCAUGGUUUUGUAUUGGCUGAUGAACAACAACAAGCACAUUGACAUUCUUCCAUUUGAAAAAAGAAACAAAGAAGAGGCAAAGAUGUAAGGAAUUUAAGAAUAAACUUUGUGGCGUUAUGUACUGUCCUUUCCAUAGCUUUAUUUGAGUGAGAGAAGAGAAGAAAUGAAAAAAGGAUCGAAGACAAAGCAAGAUGUUACAUAAAGAGAUGAGGAUUAUGCCAUUAUGGGACAGGUGUUCAGAAGCUUCAAACUCAAGAUUUGCAUUGACCCAUUUUUAGUUGUAAGUUAAUGAAUUAAGGGACACACUUUUAAAGUGAUCUGUCUGAUCCUUGAUUUAUCGAAUAUAAAAAACAUGCCCCCGUAGUGC